ensembl:lncRNA
GAAGGUCAGUGUUGCAGCUUUGGCACGCAGAAGGUCAGUGUUGCAGCUUUGGCAUGCAGAAGGUCAGUGUUGCAGCUUUGGCAUGCAGAAGGUCAGUGUUGCAGCUUUGGCACGCAGAAGGUCAGUGUUGCAGCUUUGGCAUGCAGAAAGUCAGAGCUGCAGCUUUGAUGUGGAUCAGGAUCCUGAGCUUCUGGAAGGGUGUAGAAGGGUGAGGUGGAGGAAUUUCAAAAGAAUUUAGGAGGCGACACUGCUGACAGAAAAUGUCAUUCACCCUAGCCAUUAAUGCCUGAUGAAACAAGAGACACCUGUGUAAAGGUAGAUUCUGUGAUAUUCAUUGAAACUGGUGUUAACUGCACUGCUAAAGAGACAACACUAUUGUGGCUGCUGCAAAAAUCUUUCUGGUGCCUUCAAAGGUUAACAAUGACAGACUUGCAAGGAAGAAUGGCGAAGAAAUGGG